rnacentral:rRNA from 1 species
ACUCAAAGGAAUUGACGGGGGCCCGCACAAGCGGUGGAGCAUGUUGUUUAAUACGUCACUAACCGUAGAACCUUACCAAGGCUUGACAUCCGGUGCACCGGUAUGAAAGUAUCGUCCUCGCAAGAGGCGCCGAGACAGGUGUUGCAUGGCUGUCGUCAGCUCGUGUCGUGAGAUGUUGGGUUAAGUCCCGCAACGAGCGCAACCCUCACCCCAUUUUGCCAGCGAGUCGUGUCGGGAACUAUUGGGGAACUGCCCGUGUAAGCGGGAGGAAGGUGGGGAUGACGUCAAGUCAGCAUGGCCCUUACGCCUUGGGCUACAAACAUGCUACAAUGGACGGUAGACAGAGGGAUCCGAGCCCGCGAGGUGGAGGCAAUCUCAAAAAUCCGUUCUCAGUUCAGAUCGCAGGCUGCAACUCGCCUGCGUGAAGUCGGAAUCGCUAGUAACCGCAGAUCAGCUAAGCUGCGGUGAAUACGUUCCCGGGCCUUGUACACACCGCCCGU